rnacentral:rRNA from 1 species
UCCGGUGGUGAUAGCGGAGGGGAGACACCCGAUCCCAUCCCGAACUCGGAAGUUAAGCCCUCCAGCGCCGAUGGUACUGCAAAUUUGUGGGAGAGUAGGACGCUGCCGGAA